AUACUUACCUGACGCGAGAGGCACCUUGAUCAACUAGGAGGUCCUCUCAGGAUGAGGCCCUUUCACUGCACUUCGACUGGGUUGACUCCUGCGAUUACCCCUAAUGUGGGUAACUCGAGCGUAUAAUUUCUGGUAGUGGGGACCUGCGUUCGCGCUCGUCCCCU
rnacentral:snRNA from 1 species